GUGUCAGCCGCCGCGGUAAUACGUAGGGGGCAAGCGUUGUCCGGAAUCAUUGGGCGUAAAGAGCGUGUAGGCGGCCCGGUAAGUCCGUUGUGAAAGUCCAGGGCUCAACCCUGGAAAGCCGAUGGAUACUGCCGGGCUAGAGUUCGGAAGAGGCGAGUGGAAUUCCUGGUGUAGCGGUGGAAUGCGCAGAUAUCAGGAGGAACACCUAUAGCGAAGGCAGCUCGCUGGGACGACACUGACGCUGAGACGCGAAAGCGUGGGGAGCGAACAGGAUUAGAAACCCGAGUAGUCC
rnacentral:rRNA from 1 species